UACGGAGGGUGCGAGCGUUGUCCGGAAUCACUGGGCGUAAAGGGCGCGUAGGCGGCAGGUCACGCGUGUGGUGAAAGCCCGGGGCUCAACCCCGGGUCGGCCAUGCGGACUGGCGUGCUUGAGCACUGUAGGGGCGGGUGGAAUUCCGGGUGUAGCGGUGGAAUGCGUAGAGAUCCGGAAGAACACCAGAGGCGAAGGCGGCCUACUGGGCCAGUACUGACGCUGAGCCGCGAAAGCUAGGGGAGCGAACGGG
rnacentral:rRNA from 1 species